rnacentral:tRNA from 2 species
UCCGCCGUAGUGUAAUAGGCAGCACAGGGUCUUUUGGUGUCCCCGGUUCAGGUUCGAGUCCUGGCGGCGGAG